GGGCCCAUAGUUAAACGGGAUAACUUCUGCUUUGCAAGCAGAAAUUGACAGUUCGAUUCUGUCUGGGUCCA
rnacentral:tRNA from 1 species